UAAGGAAUAUUGGUCAAUGGAGGGAACUCUGAACCAGCCAUGCCGCGUGCAGGAAGACAGCCCUCUGGGUCGUAAACUGCUUUUAUUCGGGAAUAAACCUAGAUACGUGUAUUUAGCUGAAUGUACCGAAGGAAUAAGGAUCGGCUAACUCCGUGCCAGCAGCCGCGGUAAUACGGAGGAUCCAAGCGUUAUCCGGAUUUAUUGGGUUUAAAGGGUGCGUAGGCGGCUUAUUAAGUCAGGGGUGAAAGACGGUGGCUCAACCAUCGCAGUGCCCUUGAUACUGAUGAGCUUGAAUGAACUAGAGGUAGGCGGAAUGUGACAAGUAGCGGUGAAAUGCAUAGAUAUGUCACAGAACACCGAUUGCGAAGGCAGCUUACUAUGGUUUUAUUGACGCUGAGGCACGAAAGCGUGGGGAUCAAACA
rnacentral:rRNA from 1 species